rnacentral:rRNA from 1 species
GAUGAACGCUAGCGGCAGGCCUAACACAUGCAAGUCGAGGGAGAAGCCCUUUCGGGGGCCGAAACCGGCGCACGGGUGCGUAACGCGUAUGCAACCUACCUUUCACAGGGGGAUAGCCCGAAGAAAUUUGGAUUAAUACCCCAUAAUAUUAUUGGAUGGCAUCAUUUGAUAAUUAAAACUGCGGUGGUGAAAGAUGGGCAUGCGUCCUAUUAGCUAGUUGGAGUGGUAACGGCACCCCAAGGCUACGAUAGGUAGGGGUCCUGAGAGGGAGAUCCCCCACACUGGUACUGAGACAGGGACCAGACUCCUACGGGAGGCAGCAGUGAGGAAUAUUGGUCAAUGGUCGGAAGACUGAACCAGCCAUGCCGCGUGCAGGAAGAAUGCCUUAUGGGUUGUAAUCUGCUUUUAUAGGGGAAGAAUAAGGCGUACGUGUACGUUGAUGACGGUACCAUAUGAAUAAGCAUCGGCUAACUCCGUG